AUGAAGAGUCAAAAUGAGAAUAAAACAGACAAGUGUGUAUCAGCAAACUCAAACUCUUCUGUGUAAGAAUUUUCUUAAGAAAUGGAGGAUGAAAAGAGAGAGUGCAUUGGUAUGUAAGACAGUUUGUCUCCUUCUCCAGUUUUAUUUUGUUGCUUAAUGAUUUCUAAUGUUAUUCUUUAAUUUGAAGACCAGAUGUGUUGGUUUUUAGGUUGUCUCUAUUUGUAUUUGUUUAAUUGAGAAACUCAUAAUAGUUUUUGAACAAUAACCUAGAAUUGUAAAGACUAAAUUACUAUUCAGAUCUUUAAAAAGAGAUUAAGUGCACACUUAAUUAAGUGGUAAAUUGUAGGAACUGUUAAAGCUACCACUUUAUCCCAUUUAGAGCCAAAUAAUUGGCCUACAAUAAAUGUUAACUUCAUGGUCUCAUAUUUAAGACUGUUAAUUUUCUACCUAAAGAUUUUUCUGAGAUUAUGAUCACGUCACACCACUGUGGGUUUGCAUCAGGCAGCAGGCUAACUGCAGGUGACUAGUUCAGAUUUCAGUGGCUUAACUGUGAAGGUUUAUGUUUUACUCUUAUUGCAAUCUGAAGGUUGUAGUGGAGAAGUGAGUUGGGUAGGUGGUACACUCUUCUCCACACAGUCAUUCAGAAACCUAGACUUCUUCAACUAGAGACUUUGAGAUCUCACUAGAGCUUACAAACCUUCACUGAGUUUUCUGCAUCCAGUCAGAAGAUGAGGAAAAGGAAUAUUUGAGACAGAGUAUGGAAGGUUGUGUGAGGGUCCCUGAACAUGGCAAGGAAGUAGCAUGUUUUCACUUCUGUCCACAUCCCACUGGCCAGAACUCAAACAUUUGGUCUCACUUAAUUUUGGGAGGUGGGGAACCUAGUCUAACGUGAUAUAAAGGAGGAAGUGAUUAUUGAUAUUGUUGAUCCACUGGUUAUUGACAUUGUUGAUCCACUAGUGAGUCUUUAACACUCAGUUCCUUCUUAUUUCCUUUAGUUUUUGAUACAAGGGUAUCAGAACUGACAAAACAUUUGCCCCAUGAACCCUAUCUAGAAUACUUAUCUGGAGUCUUGAAUUAGCUACCUAUGUGUGUAGAGAUUAGCACCCUAUUAGGCGUCCUGUUAGUUUCUAAUGGCUUGUGACGUAGUUCAUGAAUUAUUGUAAAAGUUUAGUUCUAGAAUCUGAGAAGGAUAUAUGUGGCUAUUAACUUGGUAUUUAUAUUCAUUGGGUUCUCCUUGCUCUGAAGAGUAGAGAAUGGAGAGACCAACUACAUGGCAAAACUGAAAUCUGUCUUCAACAGUUCUUUGAUGUGGACUGAUUUUAAGGGAAAAUGAUCUAAGCUCAUCUAUUUCUUCUUACUUCUUUUUGUCAAAUAUUUUAUAGGAAUGGGGCCUCCCAAUACUGCUAGGACUGUAUGUGGGUCUGCUUUCAGAAGUCAAAGAAAAUAACCAAUUACCUGAAAUACCUCCUCAAGAUCUGGGAAGGGUAGACAAAUUUAAUGUCUCUUCUAUAAUGAUUGUGUAUACUCCAGUCUCUAAUAUAACUCAGCAGAUAAUGAAUACAACAGCAUUUGCUCCCUUAAUGAAAG
rnacentral:lncRNA from 1 species